GCAACAUGGGUAAAUCCUGAAAACAGCAGGGCUGUCCUUGUUUAUCCCCCUCCCAGUAACAGUCAUCCAGAGACCAUCAAGGAGCAGAGCUGAACUGGACAAUGGCAGUGUUCUGAGCACACAGAGCCCCUCUAGGUAACAAGCUCCCCAUGACACUGAGAUGGCUCUAUCCAAGUGUAUCC